UACAGAGGGGGCAAGCGUUGUCCGGAAUUACUGGGCGUAAAGGGCGCGUAGGCGGCCUUUUAAGUCGAACGUGAAAUCCCCGGGCUCAACCCGGGAACUGCGUCCGAUACUGGAAGGCUUGAAUUCGGGAGAGGGAGGCGGAAUUCCAGGUGUAGCGGUGAAAUGCGUAGAUAUCUGGAGGAACACCGGUGGCGAAGGCGGCAUCCUGGACCGGCAUUGACGCUGAGGCGCGAAGGCCAGGGGAGCAAACGGG
rnacentral:rRNA from 1 species